rnacentral:rRNA from 1 species
CUUGAUUAUUAAUAGAUAUAUUCUUUAAAUUUAAAGAAUUUGGCGGUAAUUUAGUCUUGUCAGAGGAACCUGUUUAUGAAUCGAUAAACCACGUAAUAUCUUACUCAAGUUUAUAUACCAUCAUUAUCAGAUAAUUUUAAGAGAAUAAAUUAUUAAUAUUUUAAUGGAAGUUUAAAUUAGAUCAAGGUGUAGCUAAUAAGUGAGUUUAAAUGGGUUACAAUAAAAUAUAUUUAUAACGGAAUAACUAUUAAAUAAGGAGGAUUUGAUUGUAAUAUAAAUUUAAUAUGUUUAGGAGAUAUAAGCUCUAAAUUAUGU